AUUUUUUCUUUACUCUACUAUCUAUAAUCUAUACAUUGUCAUAGUUAGAUAGAAAUGCAUUAUUUAAUUUUCUUUUGUCUUUGUUUUGAUUAGUGAAUAUUAAACUAUUUAACUGAUUGGAGGAAUAGAAAAAGAAAUACAGAUUAUUUCUAUCAAAACCUUUCUAGCAAGAGCUAUUGAAGGUUGCUGUCUUGAUUAGGGAUGACUAUAUCUUUUUGGUCAUCAUGCAUUCAUACCAUUCAAACUGAAAUGUGACGAUGUUUUUAUUGAGCAACUAUCUUAUGUCUCUAUCAGUUUGAUUUGAACCAUGAAGGAAAAAUCCACGUCUCUAAACUUUCCAUUAUUUGACUGCUUUUGUGGAUGGUUCCUAGUUGAGAAAAUAAAUGCUGCCAAGUGCAAUGAUUUUCUUCUUUUCCUUUGCUUAUAUUUUGCCACAAUCUAGUUAUAUAUUUUGCUUAAUACAAGUUUGUGAAAAUUUGGCUCGAGAGGAAAUAUGGACUUUGUGGUAGCUUUAAUUGUCCACUUAAUUCAUGUGGCAAGUAAAUAAUUUUUAGAAUAAUGCUACUUAUACAUUAUGGAGUUAUAUAAUGGUUUACAUAUAAAUGAGGUGUCAAAAAGAAAGUGAAUAUAUAUAUAUAUUAUUUGGUCGAAGAAAUUUUGACCCAAUUAUAUCUUACCACAUCAAAUGUCUGUAAACCAUUAUAUACAUAUAGUGCGACUGUAAUUUUGAAUCCAUGGACUAAAUUCUUGUUAUGAACCUAUAAAUUCUUGAUAAUACAAGUGUUUUUGUUUACCUUCAUUUGGAUGUAUAGAGUUUUGAAUGCAUCUAUUGAUGAUGAAUCAUGAUUGAUAGGCUUCUAACUCAUUUGGGGUCUAUUCUCUCGUAGAUUUCUCGCAGAGACAGGGCUUGUCUCAGUCGAACACCAAAUGCAGGAGAUUGGCUUAGCGCCUGGAAAUGGAGAGGAUAAAAGCAAGAAGAGCAACUGAAGCAACUCAAUCAAUACAUUAUGCAGUUUCUGAAGUACAAUACAUGGAAGAAACAAUCUCAAGUAAAAAGAAGUAGUUAGGACCGUUUGACAUUGCUUUUGCUUUCGAUUUCUGUAGAAGAGCUUUUGGACCAACUUCCUUUAAAAUUCUUAUAACUAGAAGAAGCAUUUUUAUAAAACUAGUCAAACGAGUUCAAAAGCAGUUUUUGAAUGACAAAAGCUCCUUUCGAUUUUGCAAAAGUCAUGCCAAACGGACCCUUAAUAUAGCUCGUCUCUAUAUUUUUGAAGAUCUGCUCAUUUCUUCGUUGUGUGCUUCAACCUUCCUUUUGUUCCUCCUUCUUCGACUUGUGCUUUUUGCCCUUGAUGUAGCAGAAACAUGAGCAGCAGGGUAGCUGCAACAAGAACUUCAUUUCUUUUUCCGAUAUGACAUUUGUGUUGACACAAUAACUCACUUAUAGAGGGUUUUUGCCCAUUUGUAUUACUGUAUUUUGAUUCAUUUCCUAACCCUUCCAGAUAAAGAUGCUUAGCUUAUCAUGUUCACACUAAAGAUAAGAAGAUG
rnacentral:lncRNA from 1 species